rnacentral:tRNA from 1 species
GGGGUUGUAGCUCAGUGGUAGAGCAUUUGCCUGGCAUGUGUGAGGCAUUGGGUUCGAUUCUCAGCACCA